rnacentral:lncRNA from 1 species
UUUCAAGAAAACUGAGGGUAUCCCAGAGUGCACUUAAAAGACUUCCUUUUUAGAAAAAAAUGAAAAUCCAAGCUGAAUAAACUAUAACUGUAGCACACGAAUACAGUGGUCAUUCUCCAAGGUGACCCCAAUGAGCUUCACCUGAAACUUUCAUGCUAUUGUGUGUUUACCACCCCCAUUAAAUAAUGCUGGCCUGUUUGAUUCCUUAUUAGAGUAGAGAUAAUAUCAUAUGACUUUUGAAUGCAAGUCAAAGGAAACACUUGUGCUUGCUCUGUGGAAACCCAGCUACACAUCAUACAGAGAGUAACAACUGGCAGGCCAAUACGAAUGUGCCAUUAUGGAAGAAGACUCUCCUGCAUCCUGAGAACCAUCAGAUUAAUUUGUAGGUUCGCUUGUGAUUUCAAUCAAAAUUCUACCCAUCCUUUAAUAAGAAAAAUGCAUCAGUGUUUGCCUGAACUCUGGGAAGAGAAAAGUACCCUGCAAAGGAGCCAGGGAAAGGUUUUGGUGGUCUGGUAAUUCCAUGCCAAUCCUUUGGGCCUACUGCAUCUUGAGAAGAUGUACAUCAUCGAUUUCUCUUCCACGAAUUUUUGUAUGGUAAUUGGGAAGACAGCAUACCUUUCUAACAAAUUUAGCAUCACAUCCAGUUUUUACAAUGUAUUUCUACAAAUGUGAACACAAAAUGCCUUGUAAAUCCUUUAUUUCUG